GCCCGAGUAGCUCAGUCGGCAGAGCGACGCACUCGUAAUGCGUAGGUCACCAGUUCAAUUCUGGUCUCGGGCUCCA
rnacentral:tRNA from 1 species